rfam:TPA: Bos taurus chromosome 1, whole genome shotgun sequence.
UUCCUGGUGGUCCAGUGGUUAGGACUCCGAACUUUCCACAGCUGUGGGCCCAGGUUCAAUCCCUGGUCAGGGAA